rnacentral:rRNA from 1 species
GAGUUUGAUCUUGGCUCAGGACGAACGCUGGCGGCGCGCCUAACACAUGCAAGUCGAACGAGCAAGAGAGAGCUUGCUUUCUCGAGCGAGUGGCGAACGGGUGAGUAACGCGUGAGGAACCUGCCUCAAAGAGGGGGACAACAGUUGGAAACGACUGCUAAUACCGCAUAAGCCCACGACCCGGCAUCGGGUUGAGGGAAAAGGAGCAAUCCGCUUUGAGAUGGCCUCGCGUCCGAUUAGCUAGUUGGUGAGGUAACGGCCCACCAAGGCGACGAUCGGUAGCCGGACUGAGAGGUUGAACGGCCACAUUGGGACUGAGACACGGCCCAGACUCCUACGGGAGGCAGCAGUGGGGAAUAUUGCACAAUGGGGGAAACCCUGAUGCAGCGACGCCGCGUGGAGGAAGAAGUAUUUCGGUAUGUAAAGCUCUAUCAGCAGGGAAGAAAAUGACGGUACCUGACUAAGAAGCCCCGGCUAACUACGUGCCAGCCGCCGCCGU